AUUGAACGCUGGCGGAAUGCUUUACACGUGCAGGUCGAACGGCAGCACGGACUUCGGUCUGGUGGCGAGUGGCGAACGGGUGAGUAAUGUAUCGGAACGUGCCCAGUCGUGGGGGAUAACGUAGUGAAAAUUACGCUAAUACCGCAUACGAUCUAUGGAUGAAAGCGGGGGAUCGCAAGACCUCGCGCGAUUGGAGCGGCCGAUAUCAGAUUAGGUAGUUGGUGGGGUAAAGGCCCACCAAGCCAACGAUCUGUAGCUGGUCUGAGAGGACGACCGGCCACACUGGAACUGAGACACGGUCCAGACUCCUACGGGAGGCAGCAGUGGGGAAUUUUGGACAAUGGGCGAAAGCCUGAUCCAGCCAUUCCGCGUGCAGGAUGAAGGCCCUCGGGUUGUAAACUGCUUUUGUACAGAACGAAAAGGUUUCUACUAAUACUAGGAGCUCAUGACGGUACUGUAAGAAUAAGCACCGGCUAACUACGUGCCAGCCGCCGCAGUAA
rnacentral:rRNA from 1 species